GCCUGCUCUCUUUCUUUAAAUGCACUCGAGUUUCUCGUACCUGUGAUGAGUUGUUGGAAUUCGGGAGAUCUUAGGGAAAGGAAAGCGCAGAAACUUAUAGGAGGAGCGAAAAAAGAGAGCAAAAAUGAUAUACCGCAAAUGGAGUUUGCUAACCGGCCCAGUCUUCAUCAUCGGCGGCGUCGUGGGAGCCACCGUUGCAGCCCACCUUCUCUUUGUUGACGAUCCAUAUCUUAAACCAAAGAAGAAGAAUGAUUCGCCAUCAUCAAGCAAGUAGACGGAAGUUGACUGUUGCUCGUUGGUAUUCCAGAGCUUGUUUUUCCUGACCUCUUGAGCUUGCAAAUGCUUAGGAGUUAUUUGUUGAAUAAUAUCGAAUCCGAUUGUUGUGUAAUUUGUGGUAGUUUCUCUUUUCUCUUUCUCAAUAACAAUUCGACUACCAUGCCCUUAAACAUUUGCAUCGAGUGUCGGAACAUUGCUUAAGUUGCACCAGGCAGAUAAUUUUGCAAAUCAACAUGAUAAAAGCAGGAUCUACCUCUUGGUUCUGUAUUUCCUUCCCUCCUUUUAUGUGUGCGUGGUUUUG